AUAGCCAUCAAAAUUGGGCAGAUUACAUCAGAUGGUUGAAUUAGAACUUUGUUUCAGAAAAUUAGGAUCCGAAGACCCUCACACAGAUGAUGAAACCUUUGGAUUGGUGAUCUCUUCAAGCCUCACAAAACCUUGAUACAAUGCAAGGUUACACUUACAUCAUUAGUUGAAGGAGUGGUGUUCCUUUGCAAAGCAGCCAACAAAUAUAAAGUUAUCAACUUCAUUUUCUUUUGUUCUUCCAUGAAGAUGAGGGUGAUGCAUGUUCACAAAGCUUGAUGUGCAGGUUUAAAGAAAAGAGAUGACUAUAUGAGAUUGUAGAAGGAGAAUGUUUGGAUCUAGAUUGUCAUA